GAAAUGCGAUAAGUAAUGUGAAUUGCAGAAUUCAGUGAAUCAUCGAAUCUUUGAACGCACAUUGCGCUCGCCAGUAUUCUGGCGAGCAUGCCUGUUCGAGCGUCAUUUCAACCAUCAAGCUCUGCUUGCGUUGGGGAUCCGCGGCUGCCCGCGGUCCCUCAACAACAGUGGCGGGCUCGCUAGUCACACCGAGCGUAGUAACUCUACAUCGCUAUGGUCGUGCGGCGGGUUCUUGCCGUAAAACCCCCAAUUUCUAAGGUUGACCUCGGAUCAGGUAGGAAUACCCGCUGAACUUAAGC
rnacentral:misc_RNA from 1 species